CAUGCAAGUCGAACGGAAAGGCCCUUUCGGGGGUACACGAGUGGCGAACGGGUGAGUAACACGUGGGUGAUCUGCCCUGCACUUUGGGAUAAGCCUGGGAAACUGGGUCUAAUACCGAAUACACCCUGCUGGUCGCAUGGCCUGGUGGGGGAAAGCUUUUGCGGUGUGGGAUGGGCCCGCGGCCUAUCAGCUUGUUGGUGGGGUGAUGGCCUACCAAGGCGACGACGGGUAGCCGGCCUGAGAGGGUGUCCGGCCACACUGGGACUGAGAUACGGCCCAGACUCCUACGGGAGGCAGCAGUGGGGAAUAUUGCACAAUGGGCGCAAGCCUGAUGCAGCGACGCCGCGUGAGGGAUGACGGCCUUCGGGUUGUAAACCUCUUUCAAUAGGGACGAAGCGUGAGUGACGGUACCUAUAGAAGAAGCACCGGCCAACUACGUGCCAGCAGCCGCGGUAAUACGUAGGGUGCGAGCGUUGUCCGGAAUUACUGGGCGUAAAGAGCUCGUAGGUGGUUUGUCGCGUUGUUCGUGAAAACUCACA
rnacentral:rRNA from 1 species